CCUACGGGUGGCUGCAGUGAGGAAUAUUGGUCAAUGGGCGCGAGCCUGAACCAGCCAAGUAGCGUGAAGGAUGACGGCCCUACGGGUUGUAAACUUCUUUUAUAAAGGAAUAAAGUGAGGCACGUGUGUCCUUUUGUAUGUACUUUAUCAAUAAGGAUCGGCUAACUCCGUGCCAGCAGCCGCGGUAAUACGGAGGAUCCGAGCGUUAUCCGGAUUUAUUGGGUUUAAAGGGAGCGUAGGUGGGUUGUUAAGUCAGUUGUGAAAGUUUGCGGCUUAACCCUGAAAUUGCCAUUGAUACUGGCAGCCUUGAGUACAGUUGAGGUAGGCGGAAUUCGUGGUGUAGCGGUGAAAUGCUUAGAUAUCACGCAGAACACCGAUUGCGAAGGCAGCUUACUAAACUGCCACUGACGUUGAGGCUCGAAAGUGUGGGUAUCAAACAGGAUUAGAUACCCGAGUAGUC
rnacentral:rRNA from 1 species